rnacentral:rRNA from 1 species
UACGUAGGGGGCAAGCGUUUGUCCGGAUUUAUUGGGCGUAAAGAGCGUGUAGGCGCCAAACAGGUCAGCUGUGAAAACUCGAGGCUCAACCUCGAGACGUCGGUUGAAACCGUUUGGCUAGAGUCCGGAAGAGGAGAGUGGAAUUCCCGGUGUAGCGGUGAAAUGCGCAGAUAUCGGGAAGAACACCCGUGGCGAAGGCGGCUCUCUGGGACGGUACUGACGCUGAGGCGCGAAAAGCGUGGGGGAGCAAACAGGAUUAGAUACCCC